rnacentral:rRNA from 1 species
AUGCAAGUGUAGGAAUCCGAAAGGUGACCGACCUUCGGGAGCUUGCACAGGUGCUGCAUGGCUGUCGUCAGCUCGUGUCGUGAGAUGUUCGGUUAAGUCCGCUAACGAGCGCAACCCUCGUCGUGUGUUAUACGUGUCACACGAUACUGCCGGUAUCAAGCCGGAGGAAGGUGGGGAUGAUGUCAAGUCAGCAUGGCCUUUAUAUCCUGGGCUACACACACGCUACAAUGGCAGAUACAAUAGGUUGCGAAACCGCGAGGUGGAGCCAAUCCUCAAAGUCUGUCUCAGUUCAGAUUGUAGGCUGCAACUCGCCUGCAUGAAGUUGGAGUUGCUAGUAAACGCAGGUCAGCCAUACUGCGUUGAAUACGUUCCCGGGGCUU